rnacentral:rRNA from 1 species
UACUGACGAAAUGGGUGGCAAGGCUGUCGCUGGCUCGAAUGAGCAUGUGCACGUCUUUUGCUGCUUGCUUCAUUCUCUUCUCCACCUGUGCACUCUUUGUAGACACUCGGGAUGGGAGAGAGGUUGGCAUUGAUUGUUGACCUCUCUUGAUAAUUGAAAAGUCUGAGUGUUUAUGUAUUUUUUGACAUACACAAUUGAAUGUCUAUANAAUGAAAUUGUAGGCUUUUGUCAGCCUUUUAAAUGAUAAAAUACAACUUUCAACAACGGAUCUCUUGGCUCUCGCAUCGAUGAAGAACGCAGCGAAAUGCGAUAAGUAAUGUGAAUUGCANAAUUCANUGAAUCAUCGAAUCUUUGAACGCAUCUUGCGCUCCUUGGUAUUCCGAGGAGCAUGCCUGUUUGAGUGUCAUUAAAUAUCUCAAAAAACUUGUGCUUUUUUGGCACAAGACUUUUGGACAUUGGGAGUUGCCGGCUGCUGAUAUACAGUGGUGGGCUCUUCUGAAAAGCAUUAGUCGAGGAGCUUUGCACUCUAUUGGUGUGAUAGACUAUCUAUGCCAGGAGAUGCUCCAUGAUCCUCUGCUAUCUAACUGUCUUUAUGAGACAAAUAUGAUAAACUUGGCCUCAAAUCAGGUAGGACUACCCGCUGAACUUAAGCAUAUCAAUAAGCGGANGA